GGAGCUUCUAUCCUCUUAUUCCUCUGCUUCCUUUACAUUUACCUUUCUUCUUUAAAUGAUAAAUACCUAACCAGUGACUGAUAGGUGAAAUAUAUUUCCACCAAUUUAUAUUUUUAAAAAUCACUUAAGUUCUCCACCUCAUCCUCGUGGCCUGUAUUCCAGAGAGGUAAAAGGUCCCUCUGUGGCACAUUUUAUGCUUGAAAAUGGUAUGUUUUUUUGAUAUGCCACAAAUCUAAGAUACAAAAAAAUUCAGAAAAGAUACAAGGAGGCUUUAUGUAGCUUAUUUCAUUUGUAGUGUGUUUGCACUUGAGGAGAAAUUUGGCCUUGUAGCCUGUGUCUCUGUAAGCAGCAUUCCUGGCUUUGCAUAUCAGAUAUGAAAUUUGUUUGGAAUGUUUGCUAUAAAAAUACCUACGCAUGAACUUACAUCAGCGAGAAAGCAACUCGGGCUUGACCUUUCUGCAGCUCCGAUGUGGCAAGAUCAGCCCGUGCGGAAACAGUAACUUAGGGAAUGACUCGCGACUCCUGUUUUCACAGGCUUUGUUUCAGAGCAGGAACAAUCCUUGGAACAAGCUGCCCUUAGAAAUGAGUGUUUUCUUUCAAACUCCUUACUUUCUGCUCGGGAGUGACCCAGGACAGAGAAAAGACAUUUUAAUGGAACAGGAACCUCCUACUGUCACCCCAUGCCUGCAGCCCUGCGACUUAGAGGACUUUUUGAGGAGAACCACCGUGCCCUGAGAGGUGUGAGGGGGCUGAGGGGCUGCUCCCCCAGACAGCUUUGAGGGGGUUGAGGGGCUGAUCCCCUACGAGUUCUUUGGGGUUGAGGAGCUGAUUGCCUGUGCCGUUUGAGAGCACUGAGGGGGAUGAACCCUGCGAGGUUUGAGGGGUCUGAGGGCUGAUCCCCUGCGAGGUUUUGGGAGGCUGAGGGGCUGUUCCCUGUGAGGACCGAGGCAUUGAGGGGAUGAUCCCCUGUGAGGUUUGAGGGGGCUGAGGGCUGAUCCUCUACGGGGUUUUGGGGGGGUUGAGGGCUGAUCCCUUGCGAGGUUUUGCGGGGCUGUUCCCUGUGCGGUUUGAGGCCAUUGAGGGGAUGUUCCCCUGAGGUUUGAGGGGGUUGAAGGCGAGGGGCUGAUCCCCUACGAGUUCUUUGGGGUUGAGGAGCUGAUUGCCUGUGCCGUUUGAGAGCACUGAGGGGGAUGAACCCUGCGAGGUUUGAGGGGUCUGAGGGCUGAUCCCCUGCGAGGUUUUGGGGGGCUGAGGGGCUGUUCCCUGUGAGGACCGAGGCAUUGAGGGGAUGAUCCCCUGUGAGGUUUGAGGGGGCUGAGGGGCUGCUCCCCAUGCGCUUUGAAGGUGCUGCCAGUCUCACCCUCCCACAGGAGCCUGGGGCAGUUCCGCCGGGGGCCCCAUCGCACGGCAGCCUUUCUCCUCUCCCCAGUACACGCUCCGGAAAGCGCUGACACCUUUCGCAAGCGACACCUUCCGAAGAGCCUGUGGCGGUGCAGAACCAGGUCCUUCCUCAUCACAUCUCCUUCCUCUGCGGCCGAGGAGCGAACCCAGAGGCGAGGCAGCCACCGGCGCGGCCGCAGCUUUGCAGAACCCCCCGACCGUUUGCUGCGGACACCCCUCAGCCGCCCCUGAGGGGAGACGCGCGACGGCGCCUCCGGGCGCGCGGCGGGAGCGCGCGGGGCGCCCCCCCCCCCCCCCCCC
rnacentral:lncRNA from 12 species